UGAUAAAUAGAGCUGUGUCUGUCUCCCUG
rnacentral:piRNA from 1 species